ACGACCCGAGGUGGAGCUCGAUGCGGCCAGGGCGCGACGAGCAGAGAGAGGGCGCGGCUGGAGAGAGAUGGAGGGAGGAGAGAGGAGACCGCGUGCACACAGCAGAGAAGCUCGGCUGGGGAGGCGCAGCGGCCAUGGAGCUUGGGGCCGGGCAUGCAGGGAGCAGCGCGGUCAGCCGAGCUGGAGGGCGAGCAACGCCGGCGAGCUCGCACGCGGAGAAGCAGCAGGCACGGCAACCAUGGCUGGAGCAGGAACGCGCCGGGGAAGAGCAGCAGCCGGGAGAGGGCGCUCGCAGCAGCCGUCACCGGCGAGGAAGGGUGUAGGGGCACGGCCAAAACCAAACACAGGGAGCCAUGGCUGCAACUCCGGCGGCUGGAGACCUACAGUGUCCAUGGACGCGAGCAGGGAUCCGGCGAAGUGGAAGACGAGCAGAGGCGCGGUCCGAGCGCAUGGGAGCUCCAGGACGUGCGGCACACAGACCAGAGAGAGAAAGAAGGGCGCGGCUUGGGAAAGCAGGAGGCGCGCCAGGGAGCUUCACAGCGAGCGGACGCCAGGGAACCGCAGCCAUGGAGGUGGGCGCCGGCAGAGGAGCGCGGCGCGGAGGGAGAUGGAGCAGGGAGGGCACUGGCGCGUCCACGGCGACCAUGGAAGAGAAGCGUGCGCAGGGAGACGAGGGAGGGAGAGGAGCUCGACCAGAGAGAGGGGCGCCACGAUGGAGGGACUCGGCCAGCGCUGGGGACGACGGAGCAGAGGACGCGGCCAGGAAGAAGAUAGGGGAGAGGAACGUCGACGAAUGGGAAGCAGGGGAAUUGCGCGGAGAAUAAG
rnacentral:misc_RNA from 1 species